rnacentral:rRNA from 1 species
ACCGGCGAUACCCGAAUGGGGAAACCCAGUGUGAUUCGUCACACUAUCAUUAACUGAAUCCAUAGGUUAAUGAGGCGAACCGGGGGAACUGAAACAUCUAAGUACCCCGAGGAAAAGAAAUCAACCGAGAUUCCCCCAGUAGCGGCGAGCGAACGGGGAGGAGCCCAGAGCCUGAAUCAGCAUGUGUGUUAGUGGAAGCGUCUGGAAAGGCGCGCGAUACAGGGUGACAGCCCCGUACACAAAAGCGCAUGUGCUGUGAGCUCGAUGAGUAGGGCGGGACACGUGGUAUCCUGUCUGAAUAUGGGGGGACCAUCCUCCAAGGCUAAAUACUCCUGACUGACCGAUAGUGAACCAGUACCGUGAGGGAAAGGCGAAAAGAACCCCGGCGAGGGGAGUGAAAAAGAACCUGAAACCGUGUACGUACAAGCAGUGGGAGCACAGGUUUACCUGUGUGACUGCGUACCUUUUGUAUAAUGGGUCAGCGACUUAUAUUCUGUAGCAAGGUUAACCGAAUAGGGGAGC